UUUCAACAACGGAUCUCUUGGUUCUGGCAUCGAUGAAGAACGCAGCGAAAUGCGAUAAGUAAUGUGAAUUGCAGAAUUCAGUGAAUCAUCGAAUCUUUGAACGCACAUUGCGCCCGCCAGUAUUCUGGCGGGCAUGCCUGUCCGAGCGUCAUUU
rnacentral:rRNA from 1 species